UACAGAGGUCUCGAGCGUUAGGCGGAAUCACUGGGCUUAAAGCGUGUGUAGGUGGAUCGUUAAGUACCUUGUGAAAUCCCACGGCUCACCCGUGGAACGGCUGGGCAUACUGGCGAUCUUGGGCCAACUAGGGGCAACUGGAACAAGCGGUGGAGCGGUGAAAUGCGUAGAUAUCGCUUGGAACGCCGAAGGUGAAAACAGGUUGCUGGGGUUGUGCCGACGCUGAGACACGAAAGCCAGGGGAGCAAACGGG
rnacentral:rRNA from 1 species